UUUGCGAGAGUUAUAUUGGUCUGAAAGAAAGAGAACGAUGAGACAAACUAACGUACGAAAGAUGUGCGCGUGCGUGUAAUAGUCUAUAUGAAUUGGUAUAUACGUUCAUCGUUAAUAUAUUAUGCAGCGAGGCGGCAUCAAGACGUUACCCAAUGACAAUAUAUUAUUACCUGGUGUCCUUCUUUUAUCUGCCACGAAUGGAGACCCCCCUCCUGCUACAUCUCGGCUUAACCGGCUGUCUUGAGAAGUUUAAUUCGAUUGGAAAACCGGAUAGCCAUCCGAAGGUAUCAAGUGUAGACCAACUCUCUAGUGUAAACUGAAACAUAACCUUAUUUUAAUCGGAAAUUAAUUUUUAAUCAAAUACAUACAUAGAUACCAUAUUUUAUAGAGAGCAUCAAGGGAAUAUACGAGAUAACGAUCAGGAUACACAACUAGAGUGAAAAAGAGGAAUUGAAAAAAAGGACAAUCUUUCAUGUAUAGAGACUUAAAAAGAGCAGUAGUAUUGAAAUUUGUCAGAAGAAACCGACAUGGCUUGUGUUACUAUUAUAUUUUAGAGCGUUGACGUUGAUCCAACUAAGACAAGAUUGCAAUCAAUUCUACUGAUCAAAAUGACCAAUGUCCAUUUGAAAUCCAUUAGAGCAUUUUUCAGAAUACAUUUCUUCAAGAUGAAAUUCGAUCACAAGUGAUUUCUAUUCAAGAAUUUAUUUCAUGUAAAAGAAUUUUUUGUGAUCACGAGAUUUGAAUUAAAAAAAAUGGUGUGCUGAGAAAAAUACCAGCAGCUUAAUCUUCAACAUCAUUUGGAGUCAAAAAACCCAUCGACAUUGGAUUUUUUUUAUUUUCACUGAACAAACAAUGAAUUUUAAAAAUAUUAUGAAAUAACAGAUGUUAUUAUUUAUCAGUCAAUAAAUACAUAAAGUGUAGGUAAAAUAUGUGCUCAAAGUACAGGUUUAUAAACAAAACAGAUCCACUUAAGAUUGCCUUUAUCAAUCUAUGUGUGAUAGAUGAAGAGUGGAAGAGUAUACAUGUGGUGUGACAUUAUCUUUUUAUGCAUAAAACAUAUACUCCUAAGUAGUUGUUGGCUGAACGGCAACAACGAGAUAAUUUGGUGAUAGAGCACACAUCGUUUUAGAUUUCAAUGGAAGUUAGAGUAUUCUGCACGUGCACACGUGGUUGAUGAGUCUAAGUACCAUAGAACGAGCUGCACAUGGUUUUUUUCAAUCAAACAAAAAUCUCUACACUUCCGCCAGUUUACUACUAAACUAACAAAUAAUAUAAAUUCCUUCAAAAAUAAAUUACCACAGGGAAAUUGAAAAAUAUAUCUAAAUCUAAAAAAAAAAGAGAGAGAUUGACAAACGUCAAGUGUUUGAAAUAAAACGAAAAAUUAAAAAUUUUUUUCUACUAAAAAAAUAUAAUCCAUGUCGUUUAUUUCUACUUAAAUCUCGUACUUUAUUACCAGCAACAGACUAUCAAGCUAAUAGCUUCGGGGUCUCUGAAAACAAAUCGUAAAGACACGUUUUAUCCUGGGCGUGUAUGCUCGUAAAGUUUCGAAUUUAAAACGAACAUGAAUGUGUUCAAGUCGGAAAUGAGAGAAUUUAUUAGAAUAACACACACGGAAAAAUUAUGGGGGAUGUUGCUUAGAGAAUAAAAAAUGCAAUAAUAUAAAAGAGAAGGAUAAAAAAAAAAGAAAAAAGCUGGAUAUGAGUAAUGAGAGAGAUACAUUAAAAAUUUUUACACUUACAAAUGUUUUCAUUCUUAAUACUCAACGAUAAUGUAUCUAUGUUGGAUUCAUGGCAUUGCUCAUAUUGUUACAGAACACGCGUGCACCAAACGUCAAAGGAGACUUCCUUCACCCUUUUAGACAGGAGCACACGCUGAGUCUUCGAAAGGGUACCAGGGUUUUUAGAUGUCCUCGUUAUCCUGAGAAUGCACCAUGGUCUAAGUCUCACUUUGGAUUUAUGAUGAGAUCUUCACUCUUAGCUGUAGACUUGAGAAGAUUAAUCUGAAAAAAAAUGGAAUGUUCGUUGACUUUGGAAUAAAAAAUUACACGUGACAAUAAAAAAGGAUGAACCUAUCCUUGAACAAACACAAGACAAUCCAAUUAUCUAAAGCCGAAGCGAAUCUAAUUCCAGGCAAAGCUUGACGACAAUGCACCGGCAGGAAUUUCUCGUCACGGUUUGUGUGUAUUUUGUCUAAUAAAACGAUUCGUUAAUUUGAUAAAUCUCCACCUACAAGCAACAAGACACGAAUAUUUCGGGUUAUUGAGAAAAGGAGUGUGAAAGAGUGACAACGAUAUGUCACUAAGCACAAAGAACAAAUUGAGAUGGUUGAAGAGGUCGACUUGUUUGUUUUAAACACAGUGAAAUGGAUCUGAAGCACGUAGCUUUCAACUUAAUCGUCAUCAUGAUGAAACAAGAGAAAAUGAUUGACAACCCAUAUAAGAGCAAAAGGGAGAGCAGCAAAUGUGUUUGUUUUAGCACAAACCUCAGGCACACAAGUAUAAAUUUAGAUACGAGACAGAAACUUGGUUGUUUUAUUACCAUUAGUCGCGUUGAGUGGGCGGAAAACAGAGAGAGAAAUAAAAUACACAAAGAGAAAGUUUUGCGGCAUGUGUAAAAAGAAAGGAAUGAACAAGAGUGAGACAUAUGUGAUGGAGGUGAGCCUAAGGGGAAACAGCUCGAUUGUUUUAAUGCGUGAAAACCGCACUCGUGUUCGUGUAUCUUUCAACAUCACACACCUGAAUCUACCCAGAAGUGUUUCCGACUUCGACCUUAUAUACCGGAUUGGAGAAUAGAAAACGUGUCUGAGGUGUUGUUACCCUUUUGAGUUGAUGGACAGUCGGACGUGUGGACAGCAUGAAAUUAUCUCCCUCGACCUCUUGUUAUAAUUACAGGCCUUGAGACCCGACCAGAUCAUUUAGACACCAUUUUAUGAGAUAUUCAAUAGCAUAACCGUCUAAGACCUAGAAAACUUUGUCAUGUUAACUUACCACCAACUGCUGGCAGUUCAUGACACGCGUAUCCGCUUUAUAACUCGUUAUAUUAUUUUUUAUGAGUGCAAUACUUCAUGUCAUUUGCACUCUAUUUAAAAGAAUUACUGUAAUGAAGAUGGAUCUUAAUAAGAAGAAAAUAAAAUUUGCAUCAAGAUAAUCACAUGUAUAUUUAAAAUAUCUUUCAAUUAAUGUUGAAAUGAUUGCUCCAAAAAUUAUAUUCCAACAUGUGUGUAUUUUAUUUGUGAAGAUGAUCAGUCUUUGCUGAUACUGCUUUGAAUGCAGGAUAGAACUUGGAAUGACUGCUUGUCAAUUGAAUUUUAUCAUCAAAAAAUGUUUCUACACCGUGUGAAGUGUAUUCAACAUCAAGCUUGAUCUUACCUUCAUUAAUACUACUAUUUGUUACGCUUAGAGGUGGUCAUUUAAAAGAUGUUCAUAAUGUGAAUAUUUUUUCUAGAGAUGUUAUAAGGUCAUCACGAUUUGUGGUUUACAUGGAAAGUCUUAUGUGUGAGUUACAAGCUGUCUCAAUUUUAUUUCUCUUGUUCUCUAGCAACAUGCAGGGUCUAAAACUUAAGUAGAUUAAAAGUUAACCCUGGACCGUAGUCUUCCGCAGCGAGAAACUCCAAAGUAGAUUAGCCGCAUGGGGGUCCACAAGAUAUAACAUUACCGUAGGACUUGUUGAUCCUGUUACAUCCUGCUUGGAAUUAAAAAUAUUGUCAUCCUGUAAGAUUAUUUACGCAGAUAAUAUCUCAUCCACCAACUCUACGAAAACUUUUCUUUGAAUUUUAUCUCUCGACAUGACAUUAUUUUUCUCCAAGACAUCAAUACUAUUAGCUAGCUCAACUCAGGUCAAUGUAAUAUCUCGUGAGACCAAAACAUCCAUCACUUUGCUAUUGACAAUGUGACACAAGUUUGAAGGAUCUUUUGGCAUAAACACUGUGGGUGGCACCCGGAAGUCAAUAAGUACUCGCGAAUUGGAGAAUUCAAAAAUUACUAAAGGACAUAAUCCUUGAAGAAUAGACUGUAUCAUAUCAUAUUUUGAGUUGGAAUACUAGUGAAAGAAUUUUCUUCUGACAGAUUCCAUUUUAAGGCAUUGAUUUUAUUUAAAGGGUGAAAAUUGAGGAAAAUAAUGAAAUAAAUAUUGCAUAGAAUACUUAUAAGAAGACAUACUCCAAUAUUUUAUUCCCUAAUUCUCUCAAUACAUAAUUAAAAGACGCCUUUAAAAAGUCGACAUCAUCUUAAAUACCACAAAUACCACGUUCAAAACGUGACAAAUCCAAUUCUGUCAUUUAGGAAAAAAAAUUUCUUUCAAGAUGAAUCAGAAGAGACAACAUAAAAUAUGAAGACACUGCAUCCAACCGGCUAAUAGGCCUCUACAUACAAAAGCACUGGGAGAAGUUUGGAAUGAACAACUAAGAACGCGUGAUAAUCGAUCGUCAUUAGCACCCCGUGGCUCUAUGACUCCAAACUAUGACUAUAGAUCUGGUCAGGAUAUACAAGUGUUAGCCCUAUAAGUCUGUAUCACCAUCCAACAUAGCUUUUUAUCUCAGAUGAACGAACUUGAUGAUAAUAAA